AUUAAUGAUGAUUUAAAAUUUCUUCACUUUGACCUGAUUACCUUGAUGAAAAAUUGAGUCUGAUA